rnacentral:ribozyme from 14 species
AAUUCCAAGAAGAAAGAAAGAAAGAAAGAAAGAAAAACAAAAAAAGGAGGAAAAAGUGAGGCGGACUGCGUUACAUGUUGGUGUUUUCC